UAUACAAUAUUGGCACAGCAUUUUUAAGCAAUAAUAAAAGUUUCAUUUUGUCACCUUAAGUCAAGAUCCAUUUAUCUAUUAAUAGGUUAAGUCUGAAAUUCUGUAACAUAUUCUAGAAGCACCUACAUCCAUUAUUUCCAGGAGACUAGUUUACUACUAUCAUGCAAUCGCUGAGGUCAUAUGAGUCUAAAAUGAAGGGAAUUGCUGAACAGGCCCUUUUGCUGUUGAGAUAUGAAGCCCAAAUCUUUGCCUCUGAAGACGGAAUUCAAUGUGGUGUGUGUAAUCACAAGUAAAAACUUGAGCUAGGGAGGAACCUUGGAUAUUCAGUCUACAUCUCAAACAGCAUAGCUGCCAAAAAUGAGGCCUGUCCAUUAAAGUGGAGGAGAUAUCCUUGCUGAUGGCAAAAACUGCUUUUUCUUUUUGGGACGGAAUCUUGCUCUGUCGCUCGGGUUGGAGUGCAGUGGCGCCAUCUCAGCUCACCAAAACCUCCACCUCCUGAGUUCAAGUAAUUCUCUGCCUCAGCCUCACGAGUAGCUGACAGGCGCCCACCUCCACGCCCGGCUAAUUUUUGUAUUUUUAGUAGAGAUGGGGUUUCACCAUCUUGGCCAGGCUGGUCUUGAACUCCUGACCUCGUGAUCCACCUGCCUCGGCCUCCCAAAGUGCUGGUGGAUCACUUGAGGCCAGGAGUACGAG
rnacentral:lncRNA from 10 species